rnacentral:rRNA from 1 species
CGAUGCUAACCGCAAGGGGGCUAGCGCCUAAGGUCAACUCGAUGAUUGGGACUAAGUUGUAACAAGGUAGCCGUAGGUGAACCUGCAGAAGGAUCA